rnacentral:lncRNA from 1 species
GGUACUAUACUUUGGUUAUACAUUGAAUACACUUAUUAACGCAACAGUAUGGCCUGAAUUCUUUCACAUGUUUUGACUUCAAGACGACAAUAGCGUGAGGACAAGGAAUCACAUCUAUUUGAAACGUCCCACAGUUGCACGAUCCACUUUCGAUGUCGAUGAUGUAUCUUCUUCAGAAUCAUAAACUCAGUAGAUAUAAGUUGAGGAAGCCUUGACCUGAAUAAAAAAAGAUUCAAUUUUUUUAUAACUAGAUGCUUCCAACGUCCAUUUACAAUCCUCAUUGUAACAUCGGAGGACAUAGCUGAAAUAGACAAUCAUAAUAUGAUUAGCAAUAAUAACAAUUUACAAAUAUUUUUAUCAUUUUGGGUGUUACAAAUCGAUUAUACAAAGAAAAAAAAUCAUAUACAACAUAAGAUAUAAAAUAUACAUUACAACUCAUAAAGUAUAUAUGUUUCUGUCUGUUAAUCAAUUUGCGAAUACAAACAACACAAUACCAAAAUGUUAUUCUACACAUAGAUAAAACACAGUAAAUGUAUAUAUGGAUAAUAGGCGACAUUGCUAUGUAUAUAACAUAAACUUGUUUCACUGCAAUUUACAAUUUAGGACAUCAAUUAAUCCAAUUCGAAAAAAUAGAUAAUUUCAUGUGCUCAACAUGAAAACAAUCUCUGCAAAACGAAAUUUAACGUCAUACUAAUAUUCUUGCAAAUUUAAGAAAACAAAUUUCGUAACAGAAUUAAAAAUAAUAUCUUUUUUUGUCUGAAAAAUUGUUUCUGUUUAAAACAAUACCUCUUUUUGUGUAGAAAAAUCGACGAAAUCAACCUAAAAAAAAGUCACCGAUACCGCUACAAUAAUUCCUUCACUUUUGUACUUAACAUAAUCUGUUUCUGUUCUCCAUUCACCAGUCGACAACAAUUUAUUUUUGUCGACAACAUAACGUACAUCAAUAGUUUUUCGAGCUUCGUCAGUGUUUAAUUCGGCAGCAAUUGACGAAAUCAACCUCGAAUACGUUAUUAUUCCGGGAAAACGAUUCCUUCAUUUUUAUACUUAACAUAUUCUGUUUCGAUUCUCCAUUCACCAGAGUUCCUCAAAGGAAUAACAAUAUUCAUCUUCUUGAAUUUCAAUAAAAAACAAUAAAAUGGAAAAACAGUGAUCAAAUUAUUUUUGAUUUAUGUUUUUCGUUUGAUUUUG